rnacentral:rRNA from 1 species
GACGAACGCUGGCGGCGUGCCUAAUACAUGCAAGUCGAACGCUUCUUUCCUCCCGAGUGCUUGCACUCAAUUGGAAAGAGGAGUGGCGGACGGGUGAGUAACACGUGGGUAACCUACCCAUCAGAGGGGGAUAACACUUGGAAACAGGUGCUAAUACCGCAUAACAGUUUAUGCCGCAUGGCAUAAGAGUGAAAGGCGCUUUCGGGUGUCGCUGAUGGAUGGACCCGCGGUGCAUUAGCUAGUUGGUGAGGUAACGGCUCACCAAGGCCACGAUGCAUAGCCGACCUGAGAGGGUGAUCGGCCACACUGGGACUGAGACACGGCCCAGACUCCUACGGGAGGCAGCAGUAGGGAAUCUUCGGAAAAGGACGAAAGUCUGACCGAGCAACGCCGCGUGAGUGAAGAAGGUUUUCGGAUCGUAAAACUCUGUUGUUAGAGAAGAACAAGGACGUUAGUAACUGAGCGUCCCCUGACGGUAUCUAACCAGAAAGCCACGGCUAACUACGUG